GCGGUCGUGGCGCAAUGGCAGACGCGCUAGGUUGAGGGCCUAGUGGGAGAAAUCCCGUGGAGGUUCAAGUCCUCUCGGCCGCA
rnacentral:tRNA from 1 species